rnacentral:rRNA from 1 species
GACGAACGCUGGCGGCGUGCUUAACACAUGCAAGUCGAACGGAAAGGCCCUGCUUUUGUGGGGUGCUCGAGUGGCGAACGGGUGAGUAACACGUGAGUAACCUGCCCUUGACUUUGGGAUAACUUCAUGAAACUGGGGCUAAUACCGGAUAGGAGCUCCUGCUGCAUGGUGGUGGUUUGAAAGUUUCGGCGGUUGGGGAUGGACUCGCGGCCUAUCAGCUUGUUGGUGGGGUAGUGGCUUACCAAGGCUUUGACGGGUAGCCGGCCUGAGAGGGUGACCGGCCACAUUGGGACUGAGAUACGGCCCAGACUCCUACGGGAGGAAGCAGUGGGGAAUAUUGCACAAUGGGCGGAAGCAUGAUGCAGCAACGCCGCGUGCGGGAUGACGGCCUUCGGGUUGUAAACCGCUUUCGCCUGUGACGAAGCGUGAGUGACGGUAAUGGGUAAAGAAGCACCGGCUAACUACGUG